UACGUAGGGUGCGAGCGUUUGUCCGGAAUUACUGGGCGUAAAGAGCUCGUAGGUGGUUUGUCGCGUUGUUCGUGAAAACCGGGGGCUUAACCCUCGGCGUGCGGGCGAUACGGGCAGACUUGAGUACUGCAGGGGAGACUGGAAUUCCUGGUGUAGCGGUGGAAUGCGCAGAUAUCAGGAGGAACACCGAUGGCGAAGGCAGGUCUCUGGGCCGAUACUGACGCUGAGGAGCGAAAGCGUGGGGAGCGAACAGG
rnacentral:rRNA from 1 species